rnacentral:rRNA from 1 species
UGGGGAAUAUUGCACAAUGGGGGAAACCCUGAUGCAGCGACGCCGCGUGAGUGAAGAAGUGCUUCGGCAUGUAAAGCUCUAUCAGCAGGGAAGAAGAUGACGGUACCUGACUAAGAAGCCCCGGCUAACUACGUGCCAGCAGCCGCGGUAAUACGUAGGGGGCAAGCGUUAUCCGGAUUUACUGGGUGUAAAGGGAGCGUAGGUGGCAGAUCAAGUCAGAUGUGAAAGCCCGUGGCUCAACUGCGGGAUUGCAUUUGAAACUGGUUUGCUAGAGUGCAGGAGAGGUAAGUGGAAUUCCUAGUGUAGCGGUGAAAUGCGUAGAUAUUAGGAGGAACACCAGUGGCGAAGGCGGCUUACUGGACUGUAACUGACACUGAGGCUCGAAAGCGUGGGGAGCAAACA